CGCAUCUGUGCAUGCAGCAUAUCAAUAAGCGGAGGAAAAGAAACUAACAAGGAUUCCCUUAGUAACGGCGAGUGAAGCGGGAAGAGCUCAAAUUUGAAAUCUUCAAGGUUUUACCUUGACGAAUUGUAGUUUAAAGAAGUGUUUUCUGUUGAAGUUUUGGUAAAAGUUCUUUGGAAUAGGACAUCAUAGAGGGUGAGAAUCCCGUAUUUGACCAUUAUUUUCAGCUGUGUGAUACACUUUCAAAGAGUCGGAUUGUUUGGGAAUGCAGUCCAAAAUGGGUGGUAAAUUUCAUCUAAAGCUAAAUAUUGGCGAGAGACCGAUAGCGAACAAGUACCGUGAGGGAAAGAUGAAAAGAACUUUGAAAAGAGAGUUAAACAGUACGUGAAAUUGUCAAAAGGGAAGCGUUUGACACCAGUGUUGUUUUCUCGAAAAUCAAUUAAAAAGAGUUUGAUUUUGUUGCGUAUUGACCUUAACAGCUUGCAUUUCAAUUUUCUUGCUUUUUUUAAUGCACUUUUCGUUUAACAAGUCAACAUCAGUUUCUUUUGUUGUAAAAAGGUCAUUGGAAGGUGGCUUUCUUUUCGGAGAAAGUGUUUAUAGCCUUUGACUCCUGCAAUCGGAGAGACUGAGGUCUGCAGCGUAGAUCCUUCGGGGUUAGAUACAUUUGUGCUAAGUUAUAGCUUUUUAUAGACAACUUGUUGACUAUGAUUAGUCUUGUAGCUUACUCGCUUAUGCUAUUUUACCUACGCUUAGGAUGUUGAAGACUCUACAGAGAUA
rnacentral:rRNA from 1 species